AUGCGCUGGGGUGGGUCUAAGCAAAUCGGGUUGGAGACGGUCCCUGUCCCAAGUGGGGCUCCCGGCCUCAAUCCCCAUUUUACAGAUGAGGUGACUGAGGCCCAGAGAAGUGAAGCGACUUGCCCAAGGUCACAGAGCAGACGGGUGGCAGAAGCCAGGAUUAGAGACCGUGAUCUUCUGACGCCCAGACCCAUGCUCUAUCCGCCACGACAUGCUGCUUCCGGAAGGAUUUUGGCAUCUCCUGUGUCCCAUUUUCCAUCACUCCAACAGGUACGUCCGUCUAUGGCCGUCUCGUGUUCCCCGAAAGCCCGUGAGCUCACGACUUACACCUCUAAAUGCCCUUCAAGUGCCGGAGUACGGUAGUCUGCCCGCAGUGGACGCUCAGUCUUCGGGUACCUGCCCAGAAGGAGCCAGGCCGACCGGACGACCCUAACGUCUUCCCCGUGGCAGGAAAGCUUCGCAUCACCCUGGACCUGUGAGAGGGGGCUGCCCCACGGCCCGCGCCCGAGGGCCCGCCCAAGAGCGAGAGCCUCCCCCCAAGGGGACGGUUGCCUUCUGCCCCUCCGGGCCCUCGCGCGUGAGCUGAGAGGGAGGUGGAGGAGGCCUCCGCGGACACCCCCCCCCCCAACCCCGUGCUUGGGUUUCCCAGCCCUCCAGGUCCCUGCCGACCCAAACAAACCCCGAGAAGCGGCGUGGCCUCGUGACACGAGCAGGGGCCUGGGGGUCAGAGGACCUGGGUUCUCAUCCUGGUUGUGCCAGUUGCCUUGGGCAAGUCACGUCGCUUCUCUGGGUCUCAGUUUCCUCAACCGUAAAAUGUAAAAAGUCCUAUUCUCCGCUACUUAGACCGUGAGCCCCAUGUGGGUGAGAGACUGUUUCCAACCGACUAACCUGCACCUACCUCAGUGCUCAGGACGGGCGCUUGACAAGGUCUAAGCGCUUAACAGAUACAAUAACGAAAACAAGGAUGAUAACGACAAAGGCCACGGAUGCACCCUGAGGCAAAGCGAGCAGACUGGAAGGCCCUCUUCUACCUUCUCAAGCUGCUCUGCUUCACGAGAGGAGCAGUGUGGCCCAGUGGAUAGAGCCCGGCCCCUGGGGGUCAGAAGGACCCGGGUUCUAAUCCCGGCUCCGCCACUUAUCCGCUGUGCGACCUCGGGCGAGUCACUUCACUUCUCUGGGCCUCGGUUACCUCUCAUCUGUAAAAUGGGGGGUGCGACUGGGAGCCCCAUGUGGGACCUGGACCUCGUCCAACCUUACUGGCUUGUAUCCAUCCCAAUCCCAGUGCUUAAUACAGUGCCUGGCACACAGUAAGCGCUUAACAAAUACCGUUAUUAUUAUUAUCGGUAUUGUUAAGCUAAAUCUGGCACGGACCCUCCUCUUGGAGGCGGCCAACGUUAGCGUCCCGCAGACUCCGGCGUGGCUGAGAAUCCCGUCACCUUUUUCUCCUUUCCCUCGCCCCCUCCCCGCCGGCCCCGGAGACAGGAGGAGCGGGGAGUAGGCAAGGACCGUCCAGUUGGCUUCCGGUCGAAGGAUUCGAAACAAACACACACACACACACACCCCCCGCCCCCGGAAGGGCCCGGAAAGCUCGUACAGGCCGAGGCAAGCCGACGGCAGCCAGAACAGCCGGGGUCCCGAAAGGUGCCGGAGCUUUGUACUUCCUAUUUUCACUCCAUCGAUAGGCAGCCGCGAGGAAGGGAAAGUAAGAUCGGCUUUGCCGUCCCCUGAUGUGUCCCAGGAUUGGGAAAAUCUGUUCUUUCUGACCCAAGGAUGUGCUAGGAAGCCUCCCAAUUAACUCCUCCAUCUCCUCUCCUGCCUUAGGACGCUGAGCCCACCCGAGCCAGCGGUCAGCUGGCCGGGAGGCAGGGGAGUGGGAGAGGGGCGGUCUAAGU
rnacentral:lncRNA from 1 species